AGUCGCCCCUCGGCAACGGGCCUCGCGCGCCCACCAGCAGCAGUCCCCGGCCCGCACGCUAUACCGGCCACGGCACCCUGGCAGUAAGCGUGCUUCAAGUGGGGCGUGCGCGUGGCGGUCGAGCCGCCUCAUGGAUCGCGUCCAAGAAGCUGCUUCGUCUCACCGCGCUGCCACGGCGGGUUGCUGCGGCCGCUCGCUCUCUGCCUCGUGCUGUCUUUGCGUCCUAUUCACCGCGCUGCUUCUGCUUCCCAGCGUCGGCUCCUCCACGGAGUACAUCGUCGGUGUCAUCAUGGUGACACACUCCGAGGAGAAUCGCUUCGACAUCCAGCGUAUCGGCCCUGCCAUCGACAUCGCGGCCGAAGAGACCUGCCGCCGCGUGUACGGGACCCAGCUCCGGCUCACUCCGGCCUACUACCCUCACCGCUGCUCGGCGCGCUACGCGAUCGGCAAGGCGACGGACCUCGUCCGGAGCGAGCCGCACGUCACGGCGUUCGUGGGACCAUCGUGCAGCAGCGACCUGUACAUCGUGGAGAGCUACGCCGGCUACCGGCAGAUCCCAAUCGUCACCGGCCUCGGAGAUGGCUUUGAGCGGACGGCCAACCAGACGUCGACGCUGAUAAGGACGUCGUACGUCCUCAGGGACAAGGCGAGGGCAAUACUAGCCUUCCUGGGUCACUUCGAGUGGCGCAGGUUCGGCAUCGUGUACCGUGACCGCAACGUUUACUACGAGUCACUCUUCAACGAGUUGACUGAUCUCGCCGAGGGUCUCAACAUGAGCAUCACCUGCAAGAGACACUUCCUACGCAACGAGAAGACCAAGGUGGUCAUGUCCGACUUGCGGGCCAUCAUGGCUGACAUCAAGGAAUGCGCCAGGAUCGUGGUCCUGCUGACUGGCGAGAAGGAGGUGCGCACAAUGCUGGAGCAUGCACAGGAUUUGGGCAUGACGUCAUCCGGCGAGUAUGCCUUCCUCUACCCGGAGCUCUUCCAGGGCGAGGCUGCUGGGAACAUGUCGUGGUCCAAGGGCGUCGAUGACCCGCAGCGGCGCGCGCGGCUUCGGGAGGCGUUCGAGUCACUGAUGAUUAUCAGCCUGAAUCAGCCAGUGUCGGACGAGUACAUGCGCUUCUCCAACGAGGUGAAGCACCGCGCACGCACGCAGUAUCGAUUUCCUCACUACAUGGAACGAGUGGUAAACUACUUCACGGCCAGCUUUCACGAUGCCGUAGUCAUGCUCUGCAAGGCCAUAAACGAAACCGUGACCAUUGGCCUCAACCCUCACGACGGAGAAAACCUGGUGAACAAAAUGCGAAACGCGAGCAUAAACGGGGUCUCGGGCCGAGUAGUAAUUGACAUGAACGGAGAUCGAGUCGCCGACUAUGCUCUCCUGGACCAAGUGGACCCUUCAACGGGACAUUUCGAUGUUGUACUACAAUAUUUCGGAGCCAACCAAAGCUACCAAGCGGUGAAUGCCAUUCACUGGCCAGGGAAGGGUCCACCAGUGGAUGUCCCAUUUUGCGGCUUUGACGGCAAGGAUCCAAAGUGCUUCAAAACUGAGGACUUUCCCUUUUUUGAAACUGUGAUCAUAUCUGCAUUGGUGUUCCUGGUUAUCAUGCUCAUCUGCGCAUUUCUCAUUUAUCGAAAAAUGCAGCUGGAAAGUGCCAUCGCCAACAUGUCAUGGCGCAUCAAGUGGGAGCAGAUCACCUUCACGCGCAACCAGCGGAGCAGCUGGAUGAUGAGCCGGCUGUCCAUCACUAGCGCGAUGUCCACUAGGAUGGGAAAAGGCUGGGUGCACUGGGCUCCAGAUCAGCGAGACAGCGCCUUCCUGGAAGCGGCCACCAAAGCCAACGAGCAACAGUUCAUCCUGACGGGAUCCUUCAAGGGUAUUGUCGUAUCCGUCAAAAGGCUACCUCACCAGAAAAGGAUAGAACUAACAAGAAACGUCCUCAUUGAACUCAAACAGAUGCGAGAAACGCAGCACGAAAACAUAGCGAGGUUCGUGGGAGCCUGUGUGGACAUGCCCAACAUUGCCAUCAUCACAGAGUAUUGUCCAAAGGGAAGCUUGCAGGAUGUUCUGCACAAUGACUCCCUUCGACUGGAAUGGCUGUUCCGGUACUCCCUAAUAAACGACAUUGUCAAGGGCAUGAGCUACCUGCACAGCAGCGAGAUCGGCACGCACGGCCGACUUCGCAGCUCCAACUGCCUGGUAGACAGCCACUUCGUGCUCAAGCUCACCGACUUCGGGCUGCCCAGCUUUCGCAAGGACGAGACUUACAGCCCAUUCGUCCCCGAGGGAUCCCAGAAGUUUUUAUGGAAGGCUCCAGAACUACUUCGGCUCAAGCUGUGUCCGUCGCUAGGAACACAAAAAGGCGACGUCUACAGUUUUGGAAUUAUCCUCCAAGAAAUUAUUCUCCGAGAGGAUGCCUUUUAUCCGCACUGCGAUCGCAUGGAAAACUCAGAUAUGCUGAUGCGUGUGAUGUCACUGGAAGAUCCGCCGUUUCGACCCGUGGUCGAAAAGGACUCUUGCAUUCCCGAGCUUCACCAACUGAUGACGCGAUGCUGGGCUGAGGAACCCGACGAUCGGCCCAGCUUCAACCAGAUCAAGGUCCACAUGCGCGUCAUCAAUCGGGGCUACCAUGGAGAAGUGAAUAUCAUGGACAACAUAAUGGCUCGCAUGGAGCAGUACGCCAACGAGCUGGAGGUUCUGGUAGAACAGAGGACGGCUGCGUUUCUAGAAGAGAAACGGAAAUCCGAGGAGCUUCUCUACGAAGUGCUACCAAGGUCUGUUGCGGAGCAAUUGAAGCGCGGUAAAGCUGUGAUUCCUGAACUGUACGACAGCGUCACAAUUUACUUCAGCGACAUAGUUGGUUUCACGUCCAUGUGUUCAUCCAGUACUCCGAUUCAGGUUGUAGAUUUUCUCAACGAUUUGUACACCUGUUUUGACGCCGUCAUCAGCGACUUCGACGUUUACAAGAUCGCAAUGGCCACAACCACGCCCGGGAAGUGGCCCGCAUGGCGCUCAGUCUGCUGCGUGCCAUACGAAAUUUUCGCAUCAGGCACAGGCCUGACGACACGCUCAAGCUGAGGAUCGGCAUCCACACUGGUCCUUGCUGCGCUGGAGUUGUGGGACAGAAAAUGCCCCGUUACUGCCUCUUUGGAGACACCGUCAACACUGCGUCCAGGAUGGAAUCGAACGGCGAAGCGCUCCGCAUUCACGUCAGCCCCGAUACCAGGGUGGUCCUUG
rnacentral:misc_RNA from 1 species